rnacentral:rRNA from 1 species
UACGGAGGGGGCAAGCGUUAUUCGGAAUUAUUGGGCGUAAAGGGCGCGUAGGCGGCUAGAUGUGUCAAAGGUGAAAUCCCUCGGCUCAACUGAGGAACUGCCUUUGAAACUGUCUGGCUUGAGGCCGGGAGAGGGUAGCGGAAUUCCGGGUGUAGCGGUGAAAUGCGUAGAUAUCCGGAGGAACACCGGUGGCGAAGGCGGCUUCCUGGACCGACACUGACGCUGAGGCGCGAAAGCCAGGGGAGCAAACGGG